rnacentral:lncRNA from 1 species
UUCUGAGUACGCAGCGGAAUAAGGUUCUGAUUACAUGUAUGAAGACAUGUAACCCUAGAGUUCAUUAAUACAUAAUAAGACAAAAGAAUCCUGCUCGUCACUUCAUCACCAUCGGCAGCUGCUCAACCUGCACAUUUAGAAAUAUAUGCAGGGCUUGAGUACAAAAGUACUCAGUGGGCACGUAUGCCUAAGUAUAAAAUACAUGCUUCAAAACUGUAAAUUGUCAUGCCAUAAUAAACAGUACAGCAAGGGAGUUUUUCGCUAAAAGGCCCAAGCUUACUAAAUUCAUUUGUGAUUCUUAAAGUUCGACUGCAGUCUAAGUUCUCUUGUAAUCUAUCAUAUCUGGAACUUUGUGCCGGAGAGGUGGCCACCUCUCACGGUCACUUGACCGGCCAACCCGCUAGAUGACUCACGGUCACUGGUGUACACUAGCCCUGGCAGGAUAGCUAUCAACUGCUCAAGACCCGAAUUCGAUUACAUGAUAAAAGCCACAUCAGAUAGAUAUCAUACUGAAAUUGAAACAUUUUAUGGCAAGACAAUAUUUGAAAUAACUUCAAUUAAUUUAGUCAUGAAAUAACUUGCUUGAACGUAACAUUUAAACUCAUUUGAUAUAUAUGAAAGUAAUGCCCACCUGAUAGCAAAGCUUUGCUACAGAUUAAUGACUCCUUGACGAGCUCUUAUUCUUGCGCUCGACCUUUAAUCCGAGAAAAUAACGUAAGACUUUAAAUCGAGGGAAAAUUCUCAAUUAAAUGAGAAUGCGUAAUUUAACUAUGCAUGAAUCUCGUAUGCAUGAACUAUUAUUCUGAGAUAAAAUCAGGGAAUUUCUAUUGUUAAUCCAGGCUAUCGGAUUUAAACAAAAGCUAAGUCUCGUCUCAUGAAGCCGGAUAAUUAAUAAAAAUUAAUCCGUUCUCUUAGGGUGUUCUAAUCCGUCAAUUAAAUAAACCCCAUUCCUCGUAGUCAAUAGAAAAUAAAUAAAUACUUCAACUUAUUCGCUUUAUAACCUCAUAAUUAAUCGGGCUUAAUAAAUAGGAACAAGUAAUGUUAUAAGAUUAAAUAAUUAAAAGGCUCAACAUAAGGCAGCCUAAUAAUUAAUUAAGUAGAAGUGGGCUUGAAUAAUUAACAUGAGAGGCCCAAUUGAAAUAAUUCAUCGGCUCAAGUAAUUAAAUAAAUCUUGGCCCAAUAAAUAAAUAAUUUGAUUAGCUGGGCUCAAUUAAAUAAAUCAAACGAGGCCCAACGAAGAUAAUAUAACAGCCCAAAUAAAAUAGAUGGGCUUCAAUUUAAAUAAAUUCAGCCCAAUGAAAUAAUGUAAUAAAAGCCCAUCUGAGUAAAAUAAAUAAAUUCAGAGGCCCAAUCAGUAAAUAAAAUCGGCCAUAUAAAUAAAAUCAGAGGCCCAAUCAGUAAUUAAAAUCGGCCCAUAUAAAUAAAUUCAGAGGCCCAAUUCAUAAUUUAAAAUCAAGAAAGCCCAAUUAAAAAUGAAUAGGGAGGAGCCCAUGGAUCCAGUUCACUUAAAAGGAUAAAUUCAGCCCAUUCUUUAAUAAACUCAGCCUAAAUAUCGGCCCAUCAAGAAAAUAAGGAGCAGCCCAAUUCGAAUUAUAAGGGAAGCCCAAAACAAUUAAAUAGAUCAAGCCCAAAGUAAUUAAAUGCAAUGGCCCAAACCAAAUUAAACAAAGCCCAAGCUCAAAAUUCGGCCCAAAAGAAAUUAGAGGCCCAAUUCUUCUUCUCUCUCUGUUGGAGCCGAUAUCUCCCUCUCUUCAAAAAAAAUCAGAACACGCCUCUCUCCUCCCUCUCGAAUUCUGCCGCCUCCGUCUCCGGCCGGCGUCGGCUAUCGCCGAGUUUAGGUCCGGCGCGACCGCACCCGUCUCUCUCUCCGUAUCUUCUCUCUUGCUGGCAGUUCAUCCGAGGUGAGAGGGCGUGCCCUAGUUCCUUCCUGACAUCGCAAUCGCCGCUGUCGCCGCUGCAAUUCCCGGCGAACGGCGGUCGAACCUCCUCCCUCACGUCCAUCUCUGCCUUCUCUCUACUCAAAUCAGACUCAAGCAUGCCCAAUCGAAUUAGAAACCGAGCCCUAAUUCCUUCCUUUCUCAAAUCGCCGCUGUCGCACCUCCAUCUGGAAUCCGGCGAAACAAUCGGCGCCGGUCGUGGCCGUUUCUAUCUUCGUCUCUACCGUGAGCUCCCGGUGCGGCCACCGCUGAGUUCUCCAGUGCCGCCGCGACUCAGAGGUUCCCCUAAAAAUUGGCGAGGACAACGCCGUUCGUGCCCCCCUCUUUUAAAACUGAAUCUGCGGCCCCGGGUUCGCCGCUGCUCUUGAAUCCAGCGAGGUCGAGGCGACCGUAGGCGCCGCUUCUGAAAUCCCGGGUCACCGCCCUGGUUCGACGCCGUUGCGUCUGUAAAUCCGGCGAUUUACAAUCGCGUCCAUCUUCCCGAUUCAAAGCAGGGUAGUCGGCCACUCCUUUUCCGAUGAGUCAGACGUCGUCGGCCACCGGUCUCAUCUGCCUUGUUGCUGUUAUACACUGAAACAGAGGAGACAACGAGAGUUCGUCGUCUUCGUUUUCGAACUCCAUCACGGCAGCAGAGGUUCGUCGUUGCUUUGGGCUCGUCCGAACAGGCAGCCGGCACUAUAUCUUAAAGCUAAGUCCUAAAUCCUUCUGUUCUAGUUUCUAUUUUGUUAAAGGCAGAGGUUCUCAAGCUUUUGUUGUUCUAGAGUGCAGUAGGAUGAAAAGCACAGUCUUUCUAUACAUAACGUGGACUGUCAGAUAUAUUGGUGGAACAUGAUUAUGCAUAUGUGAUUUACUAUAUCCCUCUGUAAUUCGAAACUGAUCAUGCUUGAUGGUUGAUGCGAAAUGGAUCGAAUAAGUUGAGCUUAGUAUAUACCUUGUAAUUGAUGUUGGUUGGCUGCUGUGGUGUUAAAUGAACUGGAACUUCUUGAAGUUUUGGCAGGGAAAUGAACUGAUGGUUUAUUUUACUUCUUCCAUUGUUAACUGGAGUAACAAAUGCUUGAAACUGAAAAUGGUAGUAUUUGUUGUUGCUUAAUGAAUGCAGGUAAAAUCAUGGAAGAAGAUGGAGAAGUUUAAGCCAAAGCUUACCUUGAAGUUGGCAGGACACUGGAUGGAGUUUCUCUUUACUCUUCGGCGCAUUUCUUAGUGUAGAAUGGAGGUGAAUGGAGGAAGGUUACUGCUGAAUUGUUAAAGGAUUGGAGAUAGUGGCUAUACUUGAGGGUGGUGGAGAAGUUGUUGUAGUGGGUCGACAAAUUGUAAUGCUUGACAAAAUGUAGUGUUUGACAAGAUGUAGUGGAAAGAAAAAGAGAAGAAAAAGAAAGAAAAAAAAACAAUGUAGAGGAG